rnacentral:misc_RNA from 1 species
CUCUGUUUUUUCAAUCUGCUCAUGUAUUCCUAAUCUGUCCUUAGAUUCCUUCCUCUCAUGUGCUCUUUCAUCUUCUUUUUGUACUUUCAACACGUGCAACUUUUUCUGGUGCUCCAGCUGGUGUCUCUUUCCGUCCUCAACACGCUUUCUUUUUCUUUCUCUCUCCUUCCUUUCUUCUUCUUCCCUUUCUCUUUUCUUUGCUGCCA